rnacentral:tmRNA from 1 species
GGGGUCGACAUUGGAUUUGACAGCGAUAGCGGUAGUCAGGUGUCAGCAUGCAGAGGCUUGUAGUGUUCCUCUUAAAUCAAAUGCUACGAACAAUAAAUGACAACACGUCAUACGCACUUGCUGCUUAAUUAACGGAAUGUUAAUUGGCUUAAUCUAGCUGAAGCAUAGUAGGCCAGACAAGUACUUCUGAUGAACUGCCACCCUUUCGGUUCAUCGCUCAGAAGUUCAUCCCAUGGGGUUAGUGUUGCCGAUGGUUUUACCGCAACAUGAAAUCUAAAAACCUAAGUAAACGCGUUGGGUGUUCUUGUCCGGCCGUUUAUCGAAAACCAACCACGAACUAAGCAUGUAGAAAGCUUGAAAACACGUCGUUUGGACGAGGGUUCGAACCCCUCCGACUCCACAA